rnacentral:lncRNA from 1 species
AAGAUGGUCAGAUUACAGCUUGGUUUUAUACAUUUUAGGGUGACGGAAGUUACAGACAAAGAUACAAAUUAAUGCAUGUAAGGUGUACAUUGGUUCAACCUGGAAAGUGAGGACAUCUCAAAGUGGAAGUGGAAGGUUCCCAAUCUUCAGCUCAGACUUACAAGUGAGAACAUGCAGGAUCUGGUUUUCUGUUCCUGGUGCUAAUUGGCUUAGGACAUGGCCUCUAGCUGCAUCCAUGUUGCGGCUAAGGUCAAGAUUUUGUUCCUUUUUAUGGCUGAGUACCUGGUGAUUUUUUAAAAGAAAAGUUUGCUGAACUGAACCAAUUCACACUGAGGCCUGCACGGUGGGGCUUCUGGAAGCAGCACUCUUGCGGAGGCUGCGACCAGGACCCAGUUGGAGGCGCCUGGGUGUAGCGCCUAGGCAGGGAGAAGCCCCGGAGGACGAGGCCUCUGACCGGCCGCAGCACUCAGUUCCCGGCACCGCGGUGAGGACCGCGCCCGCGCCACGCGCGCCGAAAGGACUCCGCGAGCUCCUGCAGGUAACGGGCUCGGUGCAGUCCGGAGCCCAGACCAGGCAGUUGCUGAGUUAUGUCCGGGCGAGAUCGGUGUCCUUCAGGGUGGGAGGCUCAGAAACCCAGCGCGCGAGCCUCUGGGCAGUGGUAAGGGCGGGUUGGGAGUCGGGUUCGGCGAGUCCAAAGGAGGCUCCCGGGCUGCAGAGGCCCCGGCAGGCUGUCUCCGCCCCACGAGCCCCUUCUCCUGCGGUCUCCUGGACUGCGGCGACGAAGCGUCGGGGCUGGGGCUCCAGUCGCCUGGGGAUGCGCUGCGCGCCCAGGGCGGCUUCGGGGCCCUGAGGCGGGACUGAGGGUGCGGGAGGGCGGAAGGGGGCGCGGACGCUCCGGAACUCACGGUCCGGGCUGAACCAGGGCUUGGAAGACCCUCGGGAAAGUACGGGCGUUCUGUGUCCGGGAUGUGUGCUGCGGGUCGGACUGGGGGUUAGGUUGAGAAGGGGGCACUAAGAUUUACUUUAUUUUAUUUUAUUUUAUUUUAUUACUUAUUUAUUUAUUGAGACAGAGUCUCU